AAGGCCUUGGCCGCGGGAGAAACGGGGGCCGGGCACGCAGGGCCUCGCGGUGGUUGGAGGGCAAGUGCGUGGGCCGGGGACGCGCCCAGGGCGGGAGGGCCGCGUGGGCCGAGGGCGGGGGGGAAGCCACGCCGACGCACCUGCGUGAGAGCGCGCCCGGCCCUCCCCUCGUACGUACGAAUCCCCUUUUACGCAUGCUCAGACAAAGGGCACAAAUUCUAGGAGACUUGAGGGAGGUCGCACAGUUGGUAAGAGGAGGGUUUGCUGGGAUUUGAACGCGUAUUUGAGGUCAGGCUCAAGCCCACCGGUCUGUACUUCUGUCCUUGAAAGCAGGCGCACACAUACCCUCUUCGUAGCCCUUACAGAGAACCAGAGAGCCGACAGCCCCAGUUGCCUACCUGUUAGAAGCCGCUCUCUUCACGGGGACGGGAGCGACAGGGACUGGCGGCGUCUUGUCCUGCUCCAGGAAGAGGUUCCGGUGAAGGCGCUGCCUGGGCCCCUGCGAGAUCCAAGCACUUCAGGGCCCUGGGACUUGGGCGCCUGAUCAGCGGGGUCCCUCCUCUUGCACCUUUGAGGAAAAGCUUCUGCCCUGAGCUCGCAGAAGCAGCCAAGGUGCCGAGAGCAUUUUUCCCCUAGCCACUCCACUAAGCCAGGCUAAGUGACCUGUGUCCAGCCCGUGACCCGGCACUGUAUGAGCACUGCUCACUGUCCUGGGCCUGGGGAAGAUGCGGCGCUUGGGGCCAGGGGUGGGGACCCCCAAAGGGGGCACCCGGAAAGGAUUACCUGGAAGAACGUGGAGGAGGUGGUGCCUCGUUUCUUCCUGAUGCUCGAGGGCCAGAGAAGGAGCAGACUGCCUGAUGGGUAUGAAGAUGCUGGCCGCUGGGUGUGCGGACGAGCUACAGUGCCAGUGCUCCGGAGAAGGGAGGUCCUCGACCUCCCUGGGAGGACAUACGCUUCUCCACAGCGCCCCCUGGAGUCUAAGCGGCUGGAGUUCACACGCCCAGUCCGGACCUUUCGGUCGAGGUACAAUCUGCCUCCGACAAGCAGCAGGGACCUCCAGUGGACAGCUCGCUGCACUUACCAGUAUACACGCCACGGAACUAAGCCCCGGAUCAGCGUAUAGAACGUUUCAACGCCCAGGAUAAGCCUGUUUCUUUUUUGUUUGCUGUCAGGGCAGAGGGAGGACUCUCUCCGGAAAUAGCCGUUUAGGAAGGUUCCAGCUUCCGGUCCCUCUUAGCCUUACUUUCUGUCUGCCCGGCAACCCCACAUCAGUAGCUUUGCGUUAUUGGGAUCGUGCGCUUUUUGGAACCGGAGGGGACCUCAGGACGCCCAGCUUCUUCAGUCACCGACCAAGAGGACCUGGUGAGGGAGGGCCUUGCCCAAGCCCGCACGGAAGGCAGCUGUGGAGCCUGGGACUUGCUGCUGUUCCCGCCAAUCCCUCUUCGGAGCCUCAGUCGGAUUCUCCGAGUCGCGGGCUGCGGGCUUUUCCGCUGGGGCCGCAUCUCCUAACGGGGAGCCCACGCCACCUGCUCCCUUCAGGGCUUUGGAGGACAGUCUCCACCGUCCUGCAUCACCAUCCCCGUCCCGAGCCCUUCCCUCCUCCUCCCAGAGGAAAAGGACAAACGGCCCCUGUCUCGGGCCGAGGACACCCGGAUCCGAUCCGGCGCAUCUGACUGGCCAACACCCAACUCAGACAAACAGCCCCCUGCAGCGGCUCGGAGGGGGACACGGCGCCUCUGCCACCGCCCAGCCCCCCCCCCCCCCCCCCCGGCCUGCCCUCCCGCCUCCCCAGAUCGCUUCUGAACCGUGGUUUGCAAGUCUCAGGUGUGUGGACCCACGAGAGGCUGGGUUUGGCAGGGAGGAAGGCCUGGAAACGGUUGAUGGAGGCGGAAAGAGCCCUUUGAGGAUGGAGCUGGGGAAGGGACGGCCCGGGAAGAAAUGUGCGGUGAGCCAGACUGCACUCCCUUUGCCCGAGGUCCUCUCACCCCCGGUCCUCAGUCUGCCAGACGCUCAGCAGACCGGGAGGGUUGGCUGCUGGGCUCGCUCUUCUGGGUGGAGGUCUUUGCCACCCGCUGCCGCAGACUCAGCAAGGUGACGGGAACGAGCCCACACAAGCCCUGACUUCUCUUCCUCGAGCACCCAGACCUGGCGUCAGGCAGCCGGCGACCAGCUUCUUGAUCCCUGCUGCGGACAAGCAGGUCCCGUUGACUGUUGCAUGAGGGAUGAGGACAGUUGGCAAGGCAGCCCUUUAGGCGGUUGCAGGGAGAGGCUGUGGGUGACUGGCAGGACCCCCUCUCCUUCCAGCGAGGUUCACACGCAGCUGCCUCCCUCCUCCACCCUGCGAGCCCCAGGCCACGCUUCUCUCUGGCCCAGGCGGAGCCUCCUGGGGGGCUGGAUCUUUGCAUCCCCGUGGGAGGAGGUAGGGGGGAGGCUGGGGACGCGUCAGUCUUCAGGAAAAAGCACUUUUUCCACUCAGGACCGCUGCCUUCCACUCUCUAUACUUCCGUCUGUCUGCAGAGCGUGAGGACGUCACCUCUGUGCCUCAGAGGCCCCACGGAGCCUUGGCAGGAAACUGUUCCUCAUCUCGGUGGCCCGGCCCCACCUGGACGUCCUGGACGGAGCUCAGUCUCUUGAGCCCUUUUAAAGCUUGGGGCUCCUGAGAAGUGGGCGUCCCGGUGCCCACUUCAGUAGGAUCGGGACCUCGAAACUGGGACUGACCGUGUCCAGGGGGAGGACUUGGCUGGCCGCGUGGGCAGCUCCUGCCUGGCUCGGCAAAGUCUCAAGGGAAUGGAAUGGGGGUGUCACCUGGUGCUCACCCAACCUGGCCAGUGUUCCGGUCCAUCAGCCCUGUCUAUUCUGAGGGCCUGCUGGGGGGCAGGGGGAGCUCCUCCUGUGCGGGAACCUUCUCACGGCACCAGAGGGCUGUCAGAGGAGAGCGGACAGAGCCUUAGAAGGCAUGGCUGUCCCUGGCCUUUCCCUGAGGGACGAAAGGCAGCAGUGCUCAACUCGGCAUUCUGCUCAAUUCGACCCCUCACCUGGAUUCCGCUCCUGGCCAUGGACGUACCCACCAGCUAGACAGACACCUGCCCUGUGUGUGCAGGACAGAGCUCCAGGGUCCAAACGUUACAGCCGCGGGGCACGGUUGAGCCUGCAUCCGAGCCGGCCUUGGGUACCGGUCAUGAUUCUGCUGCAGGCUGUGUGUCCCCGGGGCGCGGCCUCUUCACUGGGCCUGUGUCCUCACCUGAACAACGGGACUGCGAUCCAUUUAAACUAUUUUCUGGGGGCGACCGGGGGGCUCAGUCGGUUCAGCGUCUGACUCGAUUUCGGCUCAGGUCAUGAUCUCGUGGUUUGUGGGAUCGAGCCCCGUGUCAGGCUCCAGGCUCACAGCGUGGAACCUGCUUGGGAUUCUCUCUCUUCCUCUCUCUCUGCUCCUCCCCAGCUCUCUCUCUCUCUGUCUCUCUCUCUCUGUGUCUUUCUCUCAAAACGAAUAAACAAACGUUAAAAAUAAAAUGACAAUUUUCUGAAGGGCCUCAGGGUGCAGAGAAUGCUAACGGAUGGAAGUUCCCAGUCCGGGGGUGAUGUCUGGUGGAGGUGAGGGUAAGGUCAAAUGGCAGGAAGCACAGAGAACAGUAAAAGACAAACAUCUAGAAGCUAUUUUCAUGGUGGCAAAGAUUUGACAAUUAUAUUUUACUUUUUAUUUUUACAUUUAUUUUUUAUUUUUUGAGAGACAGAGAGAGACAGAGCACAAGUUGGGGAGGGGCAGAGAGAGAGGGAGACACAGAAUCCGAAGCGGCUCCAGGCUCUGAGCUGUCAGCAGAGCCCGACACGGAGCUUGAACUCACAAACCACGAGGUCAUGACCUGAGCCGAAGUCGGACGCUUAACCGGCUGAGCCACCCAGGUGCCCCCUACAAUUAUAUUUUACUUUUUAAAAGUCAUGUCACCUGUCAUUCUGUUUGUUAAUAGUCUGUUCGCCAUUGUGUUCAAGGGGGGGCAUUUAUUUAUUUAUUUAUUAUGUUUAUUUGUUUAUUUUUGAGAGGGGGAGGGGCAGAGAGAGAGAGAGGGAGAAUCCCAAGCAGGCUCCACGCUGUCAUCACAGAGCCCGACACAGGGCUCGAUCCCACGAACCGUGAGAUCGUGACCCGAGCCGAAAUCAAGAGUCAAACGCUCAGCCGACUGAGCCACCCAGGCGCCCCACGAAUGGACCAUUGAAACUGUAUUUCUGUUCAACUACCUCCUGCAUAUACCUUGAGACCCCGACUCCCAAUUCAUCAGCCGUUCUCAUGGUGCGGGGCCUGGGGCUCUCCCACACCCCUGCUUGUGCUCUCUGCCCAGCUGGUCGAGGCUAGGUCCCACCGCACUGUGUGCAGACCCCCACUCCCAGGCUCCCGUGGAUCAAACUGAAACCCAGAAGGACGUACCCAUCUACCAUUCUCAGACCAGAAUUUGAAUAAUUUACAGAGUGAGCCCCAUCCCAGAGCUCCCAUCCUUUCCCACGGGAGAUAUACUGUCACAGCAUCAUCCCCGUCUCGUGGACACAGAAACCAGUGUCCAGAGAAGGUUAGUAACUUGUUCGAGGUCAUCUAGCCACUAGGUAACCCAGGUAGCUUAUGUCCAAAGCUGGAGGAGUUCCUCCCUUCUGUGACAGAAUAAUUCCUCCAAACUUGGAAAAGGUAAACGGACAAGUGCUUGUUCCGGGUGGUUUUUUGGUAUCACUCUGGAGCAUCGUCAAAAGCUUGCUUGACAGCCACCGGACUCGCCUGGAGAAUGUACCUUUGUUGUUAGUCUACUUGAUGAAUGGUCCACAACCAUUUACAGUUCCGUCCUAUUGGUGGUUAACCCGCAGAAGUGGAUAAAGUAAUCAGCUGUUGUUGCCCAAUACAGAAGUUAACCAUAAAAGUGUUUCAGUUUGGUUGCCUUAGAAAGUCGACCAGUCUCAUAUGUAAAUUAGUAAUCUUACUUUGAGAUUCCUUUUUUGCCUUGUUCCCUCAUUAAUGAGUUAAAUCAAUGUUUGUUUUUUAAGUUAUUUUUAAGUUUAUUUGAGAGAGAGAGAGAGAGAGCAGGGAAGGGGCAGAGAGGGAGAGAGAGAAUCCCAAGCAGGCUCCAUGCUGCCAGCAUAGAGCCCAAUGCAGGGCUUGAACUCACAAACAGUGAGAUCAAGACCUGAGCCAAAACCAAGAGUUGGACCCUCAAGCGACUGAGCCACCCCGGUGCCCCUACAUGUUCUUAUUUUCUUUUUAUUUUUUUAUUUUUGAGAGAGACGGAGUGUGAGUGGGGGAGGGGCAGAGAGAGGGAGACAGAAUCAGAAGCGGAAGCAGCCUGGCCCCAGGCUCUGAGCCCUCAGCACAGAGCCCGACGCCGGGGGGGGGGGGGGGGGGGGGGGGGGGGGCUCGAACCCACCAACCGUGAGAUCAUGACCUGAGCAGAAGUCCGAUGCUUAACCUGCUGAGCCACCCAGGUGCCCU
rnacentral:lncRNA from 1 species